GAUGUACGCUGGCGGCGUGCCUAAUACAUGCAAGUCGAGCGAAUGGAUUAAGAGCUUGCUCUUAUGAAGUUAGCGGCGGACGGGUGAGUAACACGUGGGUAACCUGCCCAUAAGACUGGGAUAACUCCGGGAAACCGGGGCUAAUACCGGAUAACAUUUUGAACCGCAUGGUUCGAAAUUGAAAGGCGGCUUCGGCUGUCACUUAUGGAUGGACCCGCGUCGCAUUAGCUAGUUGGUGAGGUAACGGCUCACCAAGGCAACGAUGCGUAGCCGACCGGGGAGGGUGAUCGGCCACACUUGGACUGAGACACGGCCCAGACGCCUACGGGAGGCAGCAGUAGGGAAUCUUCCGCAAUGGACGAAAGUCUGACGGAGCAACGCCGCGUGAGUGAUGAAGGCUUUCGGGUCGUAAAACUCUGUUGUUAGGGAAGAACAAGUGCUAGUUGAAUAAGCUGGCACCUUGACGGUACCUAACCAGAAAGCCACGGCUAACUACGUGCCAGCAGCCGCGGUAA
rnacentral:rRNA from 1 species